GGGCGCAUAGCUCAGCCGGGAGAGCAUCUGCCUUACAAGCAGAGGGUCACAGGUUCGAUCCCUGUUGUGCCCACCA
rnacentral:tRNA from 1 species